rnacentral:rRNA from 2 species
CGGGCUAUCAUGCAGUCGACGAACUCUGGUAUUGAUUGGUGCUUGCAUCAUGAUUUACAUUUGAGUGAGUGGCGAACUGGUGAGUAACACGUGGGAAACCUGCCCAGAAGCGGGGGAUAACACCUGGAAACAGAUGCUAAUACCGCAUAACAACUUGGACCGCAUGGUCCGAGCUUGAAAGAUGGCUUCGGCUAUCACUUUUGGAUGGUCCCGCGGCGUAUUAGCUAGAUGGUGGGGUAACGGCUCACCAUGGCAAUGAUACGUAGCCGACCUGAGAGGGUAAUCGGCCACAUUGGGACUGAGACACGGCCCAAACUCCUACGGGAGGCAGCAGUAGGGAAUCUUCCACAAUGGACGAAAGUCUGAUGGAGCAACGCCGCGUGAGUGAAGAAGGGUUUCGGCUCGUAAAACUCUGUUGUUAAAGAAGAACAUAUCUGAGAGUAACUGUUCAGGUAUUGACGGUAUUUAACCAGAAAGCCACGGCUAACUACGUGCCAGCAGCCGCGGUAAUACGUAGGUGGCAAGCGUUGUCCGGAUUUAUUGGGCGUAAAGCGAGCGCAGGCGGUUUUUUAAGUCUGAUGUGAAAGCCUUCGGCUCAACCGAAGAAGUGCAUCGGAAACUGGGAAACUUGAGUGCAGAAGAGGACAGUGGAACUCCAUGUGUAGCGGUGAAAUGCGUAGAUAUAUGGAAGAACACCAGUGGCGAAGGCGGCUGUCUGGUCUGUAACUGACGCUGAGGCUCGAAAGUAUGGGUAGCAAACAGGAUUAGAUACCCUGGUAGUCCAUACCGUAAACGAUGAAUGCUAAGUGUUGGAGGGUUUCCGCCCUUCAGUGCUGCAGCUAACGCAUUAAGCAUUCCGCCUGGGGAGUACGGCCGCAAGGCUGAAACUCAAAGGAAUUGACGGGGGCCCGCACAAGCGGUGGAGCAUGUGGUUUAAUUCGAAGCUACGCGAAGAACCUUACCAGGUCUUGACAUACUAUGCAAAUCUAAGAGAUUAGACGUUCCCUUCGGGGACAUGGAUACAGGUGGUGCAUGGUUGUCGUCAGCUCGUGUCGUGAGAUGUUGGGUUAAGUCCCGCAACGAGCGCAACCCUUAUUAUCAGUUGCCAGCAUUAAGUUGGGCACUCUGGUGAGACUGCCGGUGACAAACCGGAGGAAGGUGGGGAUGACGUCAAAUCAUCAUGCCCCUUAUGACCUGGGCUACACACGUGCUACAAUGGAUGGUACAACGAGUUGCGAACUCGCGAGAGUAAGCUAAUCUCUUAAAGCCAUUCUCAGUUCGGAUUGUAGGCUGCAACUCGCCUACAUGAAGUCGGAAUCGCUAGUAAUCGCGGAUCAGCAUGCCGCGGUGAAUACGUUCCGGGCCUUGUACACACCGCCCGUCACACCAUGAGAGUUUGUAACACCCAAAGUCGGUGGGGUAACCUUUAGAACAGCCGCCUAUGUC